rnacentral:rRNA from 1 species
GUAGGGAAUAUUGGGCAAUGGUCGGAAGACUGACCCAGCCAUGCCGCGUGCAGGAAGACGGCCCUCUGGGUUGUAAACUGCUUUUAUCUGGGAAGAAAAAGGCCAUGCGUGGCAAAUUGCCGGUACCAGAUGAAUAAGCACCGGCUAACUCCGUGCCAGCAGCCGCGGUAAUACGGAGGGUGCGAGCGUUGUCCGGAUUUAUUGGGUUUAAAGGGUGCGUAGGCGGCUGAUUAAGUCAGCGGUGAAAGACUUCGGCUUAACAGGGGCAGUGCCGUUGAUACUGGUUGGCUUGAGUGUCGGAGGGGUACAUGGAAUUGAUGGUGUAGCGGUGAAAUGCAUAGAUACCAUCAGGAACACCGAUAGCGAAGGCAUUGUACUGGCCGACAACUGACGCUGAUGCACGAAAGUGUGGGGAUCGAACAGGAUUAGAAACCCUGGUAGUCC